rnacentral:lncRNA from 1 species
UCCAAACGGCAGCCAAAGUAAUCGAAACGAUUUUAAUAAUGAGCGUGAUAAUGAGAGUGUGUGGCCCAUUUGUUGCGAAAGUUCUCGGCACCGGAAGAAGUUCGGGGGUCAUGCAUAGAGAUUAGAGCAUGCUCGGGUUAGGUAGGCUUCGGUUAUUCAUAGGUGGAACCCAGUCUAUCUAUUUAAUCUUGCAUCGUCAACCGUCCUAGGCUUCUGGUUCAUGGGUUAUGGGAGCAGAUAGCAAGUGCCAUGCUAAGGUCUCGGUUCGAGCAUGCGAUCAGUGGGGUCUUCUUGACCUUAUGGUGAAGUUGAAAGAAGAAAAAGGAAAGGUCUUCAAGUUGUUAGCAUAGCAAUCAACAUGGAAUUAAUUGCAGAUUCCACGAGUUAGCCCAUUAGUCGGCCGAUGCGAAGACGUUUAAGUUGGCAUGAGCAAAGAUGGCAAACUCGUACUGAGGCCUCCAUCGCUGGGAUUGCACAAGUUAAUGUGGGUUGCUACGGUAAAAUUUCUAUUUUGCCCUUCGUUUCCUAUUUUUGGAGGCUUUGCUCGAGGGUAUAGUAGUUUUUUUCACGCUACAAAUCAGUUUUUGUAAAGUCUAUUAAAGGUGUAUUGAUAUUUGACUUUUGUAGUUCAGUGCAGUCACUGAAUUAUUUUUAAAAAUAAAAUUUUCAUAUAUCUCUUCCAACAUAUUUAAUUGACUCAAUCAAGUCUAUGACUUGCGGGCAGAUUCAGCAUGUGUAGUAGCC